rnacentral:rRNA from 1 species
GAAACCAGGAUUAGAUACCCUAGUACACUUAAAUUUAAUUAGUAACAUUAGAAUAUUAAAAGUUAUGUUCUUUAAAUUUAAAAAAUUUGGCGGUGUUUUAGUCUAGUUAGAGGAACCUGUGUUAUAAACGAUACAACACGUAUUAUUUUACUUAUUUUAGUAGAUCAGCUUGUAUACCGUCAUUAUAAGAUAAUUUAGGAGAGAAUAUUAUUGAGAUCAUAUUAUUGAGUAUAUUAGAUCAAGGUGCAGCUUAUGGGUAAGCAAACAUGGGUUACAAUAAAAUUUAUUUAAUAUGAAUUAAGUGUUUAAAUAUAUUUAUGAAGGAGGAUUUAAUUGUAAGGGGGGAGCAGUGAGCUUUUCUGAUAAAAGCUCUAAAUUAUGUACAUAUCGCCCGUCGCUGGCGGGAAAA